GAUGAACGCUGGCGGCGUGCCUAAUACAUGCAAGUCGAGCGAACAGAUAAGGAGCUUGCUCCUUUGACGUUAGCGGCGGAAGGGUGAGUAACACGUGGGUAACCUACCUAUAAGACUGGAAUAACUCCGGGAAACCGGAGCUAAUGCCGGAUAACAUUUAGAACCGCAUGGUUCUAAAGUGAAAGAUGGUUUUGCUAUCACUUAUAGAUGGACCCGCGCCGUAUUAGCUAGUUGGUAAGGUAACGGCUUACCAAGGCAACGAUACGUAGCCGACCUGAGAGGGUGAUCGGCCACACUGGAACUGAGACACGGUCCAGACUCCUACGGGAGGCAGCAGUAGGGAAUUUUCCGCAAUGGGCGAAAGCCUGACGGAGCAACGCCGCGUGAGUGAUGAAGGUCUUCGGAUCGUAAAACUCUGUUAUUAGGGAAGAACAAAUGUGUAAGUAAAUGUGCACGUAUUGACGGUACCUACUCAGAAAGCCACGGCUAACUACGUG
rnacentral:rRNA from 1 species